GUAUUUUAAAGCUACCUAGUAGGUAUAUAAAAGUGUAAAUUGGCGACAGAUGUUACUUCUGCUAAAGAUUAAAUAAAAAUAUGUUUUCCAAAUCCAUAAAAUUUGGAUUCACGAUUUAGCACACAGCAGCUGCUCCUCAUCACGAUCCGCUCACGCACUCUCACCGCAUACGCAGACAGAAGCAGAAGUAGACGCCAGGCGAGUGGCGAUGGCGAUGGCGAUGGCGAGUGCAGCCUGACACAAAUUCCCUUUCAACUUGCAUAACAAGCUCUCAAGCGGGUCGUUUGCCUCCUAAUACCAUUUCCUAUUCCUCCUAUUGCAUCCCCCUUGGUAAUUUUGAAUUCCUCGAAGCAACAGCAACAGCAAAUGAAAUGGUGACAUGUACAACACAGCAAUCCACAAUGGCACACUCCUCUCCACUCUCCACUCCACACUCCUCAUCAGUUGUUGGCAUUAUGAGUGUCAGCCAAAAACAAUGCCUGCCUUCUACGUGGCGUCCAAGCAGCCAUCAACAACAAGCUGCGUGGCAGAGAUGUGGCACAUUCCAUGCUGACAAGUGGUUGUUGGAUGGAGCAUGGGAGCAUGGGAGCAUUGCUACUUACUUGAACUGGCUUGGACCACAAAUACGAAUGCGCCGCCUCUUAAUUGCCGUGCAGCCGGAAGCCACAAAAUUUACUGUAAGAUCUAGAUGCCUCCACAUUGAGUUGUAAAGCUACCCUUAAAAUUUAAACGCAUCUUUGCAGACUUUUUAUUUCCAAGUUUUCCUUAAAGCCAUUUAUUUAUGCGAUUUCUU